AAGUCGUAACAAGGUUUCCGUAGGUGAACCUGCGGAAGGAUCAUUAAUGAAUACAAGGAUGCUCUUUUUAGAGGUCCGACUCUUCAUUUCCACACCCUGUGCACAAACUACAUUUACACCCAUUUUUAAACUCUGUCAGUAUAAAGAAUGUCAAUAGUCUCUUGAUUGAGCAUAUAACAAAUAAAAU
rnacentral:misc_RNA from 1 species